GCCGGAGGCCGCUGGGUCGCCGCUCACUCACCGUGCGGAGCCGCGGCUCGGUGCGGGCCGGGUGGGUGCGGCCGCCGGGCGGGUCCCCGGGCGCUGCGGCGGCUCCAGCCCGCUCCCCGUGUCCCGUUUCCAGUACCCCGUUCCCGUGUCCCGUGUCCCGUGCGGCGGCCGCGGGCGGGGCGGGGGCACCGCGCGCCACGUGACCGCCGUGUCAUCCCCGCCGCCAUCUUGUGCCCGUCCCUCCCUGCCGCGGAGCGCUGCGCCUCAACAUUCCCAUACUCAUUCCCAUUCCCAUUCCCAUUCCCAUUCCCAUUCCCAUUCUCAUUCUCAUUCUCAUUCUCAUUCUCAUUCUCAUUCUCAUUCUCAUUCCCAUUCCCAUUCCCAUUCCCAUUCCCAUUCCCAUUCCCUUUCCCAUUCUCAUUCCCACUCCCACUCCCAUUGCCGGAGGGAUCCACAGCCCCCCGCUGCCCAGCACAGCCUGGGGUGCGCAGGGGCAGCCCGCUGCUCGCUGUGUUUUACAGAAUCCCAGGAUCACUGAGGCUGGAAAAUCCCUCCCAGCCCACAGAGUCCAAACUGUGUCUGAUCCCCACCUUGUCCCCAGCCCAGAGCACUGAGUGCCACGUCCAGCCCUUCCCUGGACACCUCCAGGCAUGGGGACUCCAAACCUCCCUGGGCAGCCCCUGCCAAGGCCUGAGCUCCCUUGCCAUGGAGAAAUUCCUCCUGGUGUCCAAGCUGAGCCUCCCCUGGCACAGCUUGAGGCCGUUUCCCCUUGUCCUGUCCCUGUUCCCUGGCAGCAGAGCCCGACCCCCCCUGGCUGUCCCCUCCUGUCAGGGAGUUGUGCAGAGCCAGAAGGUUGCCCUGAGCCUCCUUUGCUCCAGGCUGAGCCCCUUUCCCAGCUCCUUCAGCCCCUCCUGGGGCUCCAGCCCCUUCCCCAGCUCCAUUCCCUGCCCCUCAGUGUCCUUCCUGGACUGGGGACGAAAGGACUCAGCACAGCCCUCGAGGUCUGCCUCAAAGAAG
rnacentral:lncRNA from 1 species